GCUGGAAUCACACAUAUGGUUGUCACGUACACGGAAGGUACCGAGAAAGGGGGGGGGGAUGCCCAAAGGGCUUUAAAAGGGAUACAGCUGAUGCAUAUGGCAGAGCCUCCUCCUGUACAUGCGGAAUGUAUGUCAGACGGCCGCUCCCGGAUUGCAAUCUGUCAGACAAUAAACCGGUGAUUUGCAACUUCUCCCCGUGUCAGCUGUGAAUCUCUUCUCAUCCACGGACCCGGUGGAGACGCCGUGCUCCAACAGUAGUCAGCAUGAUUAGCCAGCCCCAGAUGAAGUCCCGGGGUACAACCACGUGGUCAGGCUGGCGAGGUACUUGGUGGGGCUACGCCACGAGCCCUGUAUCUCAGAGAGUCACAUUGCCAGGAUCGUCUCUCUGGAACAACCUGCCGGAGAGAGAGGCAGCGUGUCUCCUACCCACCGAGGCACAGGGAGCGGCUCCUUCAGGGCAGGUUCAAGGCCAGCCACUCGAAAACGUCAGUGUGUGCAGGAAAGGAAAGCUUGAAGCGGUAAGUGAAUUGUUUGUAUAGAAGAUCGCUGGGGUGAGGCUGAACCGCUGGACUGCCAUCCUGCAGGACUACGGCAGGAUCAGAUGGCUGGUCCUGAGCAGCCCGGGGCUCAUGCAGGCCACGUUGCUUCAGCUUUUCGAAAUAAACCAGCGUACACUGUCAGUUUGGCAUAAUGAUUUACUGAAGUGGCAAGAACGUGCUGUGCUGUCCAUGGACAUCCCUCUCCCCAACCCCAGCCUGACAUCAGCCGCCUCUCUACCUGAGCCCAGGCAAAAGGAGCAAGAGCCUGCUGAACCUCCUUCUGACCUGAGCCCGUUCACCUUUUCCUCCCCUCCUGACUUGUCUGGGCAGACUGUGCGGAGACGGCAGCAAGCUGCCACUACUGCUACUCUGCAUCCCCAGCCAACUCCUCUGCCCUCUGCAUCAGUCCCGCCUGCCCCCUUACCUGCCCCGCCGACACCUGAACCAGCCAUAGCUUCCCCAGCGACACCGCCGGGAGCAGACUCCCCCGGCAACCUGCCCCGGUUAAAGACUCGGACCACCGAGUGGAGGUGUGGUAGAAAAAUUAUAAAUCAAGGACUUAGAAUAAAAGUCUGGACCUCUUAGGUUGGUGAGUAAAGAAAAUUUCUUUUAUUCCAGCAAGUUCAGCAAAGCGCUCCCAUCAC